UAUCUUCCUGCCUCAGCCUCCUAGAGUGCUGGUAUUACAGGCAUGUGUCACCAGGCCUGGCUCUUGUCAUAAAUUUCACAAAGGUUUCUUUCCGAUCUGAUAUUGGCAGUCUGCCAACUCCCAACCCACAGAGGCAAACCAAGUCAACUGAUGUGUAUACCCGAUUUAUUAGAGAUCUCUUCAACGUAAAAAGAGGGGGUGUGUGGGAAUGGGGCAGGUGGGGCCUGGACCACAUACGGUAUUCUGUGGGGCCAGUGGCAGCUGUACUGUCAGGGGCGCCCACAGGUCUGGGCUGGAAGGACACGGCCUGGCUACUGGUGCCACAGGAAGCCAUGCUCCGGAUUGUCACACACCAGACCACAGGGACUGAUGAUGAGGGACUCCCAGUGGGUUAAGACACGAAGUUUGCAGUUUUUUGUUCUGAAAUGGUUCAGCCACAUGGAGACUGGGCUGGCCUGGGCAAUGGAACUUGUAAUCACCGGAGAGGAGGAGGUGUGUGUGGAGGGGAUGCUCGUCCUGGGUGGGGGGCGACAGAGGGGCUGUGGCGACAGUACCCUGGCAACGGACCCCGCAGGGACAGGAGUAUUGCACUGAGCCAGGUGUGGAGGUGAAUGAGGACAGUUGGGAUGGCCUGAGGGGAGGGGGACAGGCUGGAAGGGGACACAUGGAAAUUUCCACCUUGCCAGUCUAAGAAAAUGCCUCUCCAUUUUUACAGUACAGGGAUUCGGACAUUGUCCAGGGUCUGCAAGAGCAGCCGUCUGGAGAGGUGAGGCAGGAAGGAGCUGGGUCAUUGGGAUAUUUACAAGUCUAACAGGAGUGGGGACAGCCGGGUGCACCCAGGGCCUCCCUCCUGGAGUCUGAGGAAAGUCUUGAGUUUGCCACAUGUCAUGAAUAGGUCUCUCCUGUCUAGCCCACUGUGCCCGAAAUGAUAAGCAAGUGAGGCCCCUUGAAACAGUCUGGGGGACACUUCAGCAUCCUUUUUGCGAUACUCUGAAAAGGAAUGAAACAAGCAGCCCACAUGAUGUGGAUCCCCACAGGGCCUCUGGGGAUUAACACAAAAAUGGGAAUGUUGGGACAUCCAGCCAAGAGGGCUGCAAGAUUUCGCCGGCCCCCAGCGCUGUAUACAGGCUGUGACUCACUGGGGGCCACACAAACCAUUUUCUUUCUCGACAGUGCUGACUUCCAGACUCCACCUUCUGCAGUGGGACCAUGUCCUUGGGGGCCUGGGCAAGGUGAUGCUGCAGCUGUCUCUGGGGCCUGGACAAACCCUUUCUGGGGCUGGGGACCCCAAUCGGGCUCCCUGGGAUAGAUCCUCAGAGCCACGGCAGCAGCUGGGUCCUGUGAGGGUCUGGGCGGGAAUAUGGGUUUCCUGUUGGUGGCUCAGGGAAGAGCAGACAGAUCCCCACUAUGUCCCCACUGCAGAAGGGACACCAGAAGAGGCCUAGACAGCUGUCUGGCAUCUUGCAGAGGGCUUAAAAAAAAUCAAAUUCCUGGAUGGGUUGGUGCUGAUGCUGUUCUUCUGGGAGGUGUGGCUUCAGCUCCAAGCCCCUCCCACUGCCUCCCAUGGGGCUCUGUGUUGGGGAUCCGAGAGGCCAGGGCCUGCGGACCAUCACCAACAUGCCCUCUCCCACCCUCUGGACAGUGUGGCCACGAGAGGGACACCCAGAGGAAACGCUCCUGGACCCGCCCUGUGGUGGCCGUCACGUGUGAUAGCAGCUUGAGCAUCAGAAGUGCCCGCCCCAGGACACCUGGUCUCCGAUCCUGCACCCCAAGGCCCAGCCUAGCCGCUCUGGAAGUCAGAGGCUCUGACUCUGGGAACCAUGAGAACCAUGCUGGGAAGAGGCAGACAAGUCCACAGCCCUGAGCUCUGGCGGGAGGGUCAGCAGCAUUGGGGCGGGAAUAUAACGACCUGGGCAUUCUUGCUCACGGGCACCUGGGUCUGGGGAUGUCCCACAACACUGAGCCACUGGGGGCCACUCCUGAGGAUGCCCGUCCUGCACUGAGGCCCCCACACCUGAGCCAAGCACGGGAGGAUCUGCUGCCGGGAGGGGCAGCCCCAGCACAGAGGACAGCGAGACAGCAGGAAGAGGCACCUGGGGGCCUGUCCUGGAGUGUGAGCCUCACCUGGGCAGCCAGGCCCGAGCAGCCCAGGUCCCAAGGAAUGGCCUCGUCCCUGUGGGACACAUGCAGUGGAGGCAAAGGACCAAAGUGCGGUGGUGUGGAGUGUCUUCCUUUUCCGGUUUGUCUCUUUUCCCCUAAAAAGCACCACUUGCCUCUGUCUGUGCAAAGAAUAAGGACCCAAAAUAAAUACAGGACAGGACGCUCCGGAAGGUUGCUGUCUGGUGGGUGCAGUGCGGGCGGCCCAGGGUCGCUGCGUGGCCUGCGGAGCAUCGGGGUGGGGAGGGGCUCGGCCGGUGGCAUCCAUCAGGGGCAGGACGAGGACAAGGUUGGCUGGGGUUGGCCGCAGGGCGGCAUGUCCCCGAGCUCUGGGCCUCAGCUGGGCAGGCAGCGCCUCUGGGAAGCGGCUGCUCUGAGGACUCAGAAGGGACCGCUCAGGGAUGGAGAGGGAGGUGGAUGACAGGGUCGUGGCUAUGGAGGCGGUGGUGGCUUCUUCAAAGGAAGGUGGAGUGCAGGGCAGGAGGGUUCCGGGCCGCCCUGUGUGGGAGGUGGCAGGCAGCUCACGGAGCUGCCACCCUUCUGUCCCACACACCCACCCAGCAGCUCUACCUUCUGUGGGGCUGAGCCAGGGCCCCACCCUGGGCACCCUAACCCAACCCGGGAUGCUCCACCUCCCACUUG
ensembl:lncRNA